UUCGUAACACCUAUUAGAUCGGCUCACUUAAUAAUUUGAUAAAUGCCAAACAAAUUAUAGAUUUUUUAACAUUAAUUCAUAAAAGUGGAACUGUUUUUCGGUUGGUGAAAUGUGACAGUUUUUGCGGAAUAUGCUUUUUUCUCUGUGAAAGCAAGUGACAGUUCCCGGAAGACCCGUCUAUGGAAGACAGAAGGCACUCCUUGCUGCGAUCAAAGCUCGUCUUCGUGUCGGAAAACUACCUUGGCUACGAACGUAAUCAUAUGGGGGUUCCUGCGAUAAAAGCCAUCUUGCGAUUCUCGACCUGCGAGAACUUUUCCUGGAAAAGAAAACCUCCCGACAAGCAACGAUAGUGGGUACCAUCUGUAGUAGAAGCUGCCGAUGGUGUUCUCUAUCCAUAUUUAGGAAGGUUAGCUCCAAAGCCAAAACAAAUCUGUUGCGAAUCAUUGGCUACUUGCAUUAUCCACAUGCAGUAUAAAUAAAUUCCUGAUAAGCUGCUCCUCGAGCUUAUAAGGUUUUUCAGAUAUCUCGGAGGUCGGAAUGCCGAAGGAUCUCUUUCUACGCAAUGACGCCCCAUUGAAACCUGUACCUGAGUUAGCUUUCCGACCCCAAGACCAGUCUCGAUCGCUGCUCGGUUUGCCUUCUGACCACCACGGACGAGUCUUCUUGAAACAGGGACCUGUUUUUGAAGAACGGCAAAGCAUAUGCAGCAAACACUGUCACGCUGUCUUCGAAACUUAACAAAAAUAAAAAAUUUAAAUGUAA